rnacentral:tRNA from 1 species
GGGCGCAUAGCGCAGUGGUAGNGCGUCCGCUUUGCAAGCGGAAGGCCCCGGGUUCAAUCCCCGGUGUGUCCA